rnacentral:rRNA from 1 species
GGCGAACGCUGGCGGCGUGCUUAACACAUGCAAGUCGAACGGAAAGGCCCUGCUUUUGUGGGGUGCUCGAGUGGCGAACGGGUGAGUAACACGUGAGUAACCUGCCCUUGACUUUGGGAUAACUUCAGGAAACUGGGGCUAAUACCGGAUAGGAGCUCCUGCUGCAUGGUGGGGGUUGGAAAGUUUCGGCGGUCGGGGAUGGACUCGCGGCUUAUCAGCUUGUUGGUGGGGUAGUGGCUUACCAAGGCUUUGACGGGUAGCCGGCCUGAGAGGGUGACCGGCCACAUUGGGACUGAGAUACGGCCCAGACUCCUACGGGAGGCAGCAGUGGGGAAUAUUGCACAAUGGGCGGAAGCCUGAUGCAGCAACGCCGCGUGCGGGAUGACGGCCUUCGGGUUGUAAACCGCUUUCGCCUGUGACGAAGCGUGAGUGACGGUAAUGGGUAAAGAAGCACCGGCUAACUACGU